rnacentral:lncRNA from 1 species
AAGUUGGGCGCCGGCGACUGGCGGGGGCAGAGGGCCGGGCGCUCCCUCGGGCUCGCGCAGGUGCUCGGGCCUGGCCGGGCUGGGACCGCAGGCGCCUCUCCCGCGCUCGCCUAGCCCGGGCUGCCCCCGCACGCCCACGCCCCAGGUGUCCGGGCGCGCUUUACCCAGGGGCGCCGUGCCCAGGCCAGGAGGCCAGGGCGGAGCGGGUUUAUCUGCGUAUCCUGGCGAAGUUUGGAUGCAGAGAACUUGGAGCUGUUGUUUUCUACCAGACACUAGGAUCCCUGAGAGAGGUGUCAUUCUUUCGCGCUGCACACACCUUCCUCCACGUGGUGAAGAUACAUCGCUCCUGACAGCCUCAUGCCUGACUGGACACUGAAAAAGAGGUGAAGAGAUGAGGCGAUAGAACAAAAGAACAGAAAGAUAAUGAAGCUGAGACUAACAUAAUUAUGUAUGCAGCCACAAAUGGAGCACAAAGCAAUUACUGCUUGUGGGAAUUUGAGAGAUGCUCUUUGAAGAGGUGUGAGGGAAUCAGUAAUACUUGCAGUGACUUUUAAGGAGGUGGAGUGUGCUGAUGAAGAUGCCACAAAGAACUGAUGGGAAGUUAUUCCUCUCCCCAACUGCUAUUGUAUCCUUCCUGUAGUGCUGUCUCUGCUUUUUGCAUCUUGCCCAGUAUAUUAUGACACAAAUAAAAAUUCUCUUUUCAUCAUCUUGCAA